ACGCUCGACACCUACGGGGGCAGCAGUGGGGAAUAUUGCACAAUGGGGGAAACCCUGAUGCAGCGACGCCGCGUGAGCGAAGAAGUAUUUCGGUAUGUAAAGCUCUAUCAGCAGGGAAGAAACUGACGGUACCUGACUAAGAAGCACCGGCUAAAUACGUGCCAGCAGCCGCGGUAAUCUGAGGCGGGCUGGCAAGGC
rnacentral:rRNA from 1 species